GCAUCUCUUUUAUCCAUUUUUCAUAUCCUCGUUGAAGUCAGAAACUCAGAAGUAAUCACUUCAAUCUUUGCUCCUAAACCCAAACCCCUUUCUCAUUUUCUCAAUCUUCUCCUAAAAGCCCAAAUUUAAACCGAAAGAUAACAACAACGAUUUGUUUGUAAUUAAACAAACCCCUUACAUCGCCUUGUACCAAGAAAUAAAACUGGUCGAUCUGAAUCGAUUCAGUAUGCUGAGGGUCUUACCAAGGUUGAUGGAAAAUCUGAUCACAUGGAUAAACAGUCAUAGAAGAAACAAAAGGGGUUCUGGACUAUAUAGGUGAUAUUCAAUUUGAACGACCUAAAGUCUGCAGGGGUGAAGCAAAAGUUGGAAUGGCUAAAGAAAUUAAAAUUAGGAGAAAAAGCUCCAUCUGUACAAUUAAAACCGGGUUACUCACUUCUCUUAACAUUUCUAGAAUCUUAACUGAGUACUUUAUCGUUCAGAGUGAAGUCCGUGUUGUUUCUGUUGUGUAGAUACUUAGUGAUGAGAUACUUUUGCUAUGUAGGAGAGGAAUCUAUCUGGCAGGUUAGGAUCUUAGUGGAGCAAGGAAGAGCUUACAUUCUUUUAUGAAGAGUAUGGAAAGACUGGAAAAAGGCAUAAUUAUAUCUUCCACAAGGGAUGUGAUCAGUAGAUGGGUUAACAACAAGGAUGACAGACCAUUACAGUAUUCUGGCUGGAGUGAUGGAUCUGUGAUUGGGUCAGGGUCGAAGGCCUAAAUGUUAGUGCUUAUGAAGAUCCAUAUGUGUUCAUUGCAUCUGCGAAUCAAGCUCCACUAACUUCAAAAUCUGUAGAAAACAACUAGUAUUGGGAUGGAGAUCAGGAAAUAAGCUAAAACCAAGGAUUUCAGAACUGUCAUCGAGAACUUUUUUGACCUUGCUGGUAGGGGAAGAGCUACUCAGACACAUGCAUACUGGGCUAGGCUAAGGGAAGGUUGCCACAUUAACCUUAUUCUAAUGACUCCGACUACAGUAAUCAUAAAGAUCAGUGCUGGAAAAAGAAGUGGCGAUAUUCCUUACAAGGAUUCAAAUGUCACACGCAUAUUACAACACUCACUUGUUGGGAAUGCUCGUAGGGCCAUCAUAUGUACGCUUAGUUCAACAAUGAGUCACUUUGAACAAUCUGCCAACACUCUCUCCUUUUCCACCCGUGCAAAGGAAGUCACUGACAAUGCCAAAGUGAAUAUGGUUGUGUCAGAAAAAUAAUUAGUUAAACAGUUAAACACUUGCAAAAAGAAGUAGGUAGACUUGAAGCGGAGAUGACAACUCCAGAUCCAUCUGCGCGUUCAGAUACAAAUGCUUUAUUUAGGGAAAAGGAUUUUGAUGAUUUCUACUUGAAUUAUUAUUAGCAAGCCAGAUUUCUACUCCGUUUUCCUACCCCUUAUGACCAAUUUUAGAGUUUCUGUAGAAGAUUCUUUGCUUUGUCAUUUUAUAUUUCGUUUUGGAUAGAACUACUAGAUAGCAUUUGUUAGGCCACUUAUUAAAAUAGAAACUUGAAGAAAACUUGUGCGCAAUUUACGCUUUUAUGAAAAAUGUAAAAGGGUUGGUUGUUGUUUCUUUCAUUGGAUAUGUUAUAUCUUAAUUAUCAGUAGGUGUAACUGCUCUUGUUCUCCUCCGACAACUAUUUACCUUAAGAACUUGCAGAGAUAUGUAAUGUUUGUGGUGUUAAAGAAAAAUGUAUAUGGUCGACAAUUGUAUGAUAUAAAUCU